UACGUAGGGCGCAAGCGUUUGUCCGGAAUUAUUGGGCGUAAAGAGCUCGUAGGCGGCUUGUCACGUCGGGGUGUGAAAGCCCGGGGCUUAACCCCGGGUCUGCAUUCGAUACGGGCUAGCUAGAGUGUGGUAGGGGAGAUCGGAAUUCCUGGUGUAGCGGUGAAAUGUGCAGAUAUCAGGAGGAACACCGGUGGCGAAGGCGGGUCUCUGGGCAACAACUGACGCUGGAGGAGCGAAAGCGUGGGGGAGCGAACAGG
rnacentral:rRNA from 1 species